GGGGAAUAUUGGACAAUGGACGAAAGUCUGAUCCAGCGACGCCGCGUGGAGGAAGAAGUCCUUCGGGAUGUAAACUCAUGAAGCUAACGAAUAAGACGGAAGGGGAACCUUCCGGGAGAAGGUAAUUAGUGAAAAGCCCCGGCUAACUACGUGCCAGCAGCCGCGGUAAUACGUAGGGGGCGAGCGUUGCCCGGAAUUACUGGGCGUAAAGGGAACGUAGGUGGCUCUUAAAGUCAGGUGUGAAAAUAACGAAGCUUAACAGGUUAAUGCGCUUGAAACUAAAGGGCUUGAGGGCAAUAGAGGGAGAUGGAAUUACCUGUGUAGGGGUGAAAUCCGCAGAUAUUAGGAGGAAUACCAGUGGCGAAGGCGACUCUCUGGACUGUAACUGACGCUGAGGCACGAAAGCGUGGGGAGCAAACC
rnacentral:rRNA from 1 species